rnacentral:lncRNA from 1 species
CUUAGCGCUCACAAUUCCUUCCUUCUUCUUUGAAACGCUUCAUAAAUUAUAUAUGGAAAGUUGAACGAUUCAUCAAUUGCCAUAAGAUCUGUUGCUAAAUUAUGGAAGCGUUUCCAAUUUUAAGGCUUAUAUACAAUUUACUGCUUUUAAUCGGAGGAUUCAAAGGAUCAUUCAAGUCGCCUGCUUUGUUUUAUCUUCAUCAUCCUUUGAAAGUGAAGCAUCUAUUUGCCUCAGAUGGGUUCAGUCGAUUAUUAUGCUGCCAUGACCCACCGUGACCGCCUUUUUCAUUGUCGCCGCCUCGCCGCCGCCACCGUCGAGUCUUCUUUGGCGUUUCUUGAUGGCAAUGAAACUUAUCAGCUUCAGUCUCUUGGAUUGUUGAUAAGGUACAAGUGACCCGGGAAGCAAUAGUUAUUGGCGAUGGUGAUGACAACGAUGGAUGGGCACCAAAAUUGGAGGUGAGACGAUGUUAGAGAUGACAUGAUUGAAGGAAGAGGCUAAAACGCCGGUUGAGCAACAACUUGCAGUAGAGAGAAGGUGCAUAAACAGCAGAGUGAGACCUUGAAAGCGAACUACAAGUAUGAGCUGAUUGAUGGUGCAUAAGACGAUGGGAUGGUGA